GAACCUAUGCUGCGUUCAUGCGGUAUAACAAUUAGCAAUAGCUUUACUCAAGUUGAAGGCCGUGUUCUACCGGCUCCUAAGCUAAACGUGGGCAAUGGAGAGGAUUUCUUCCCCCGCAAUGGACGGUGGAGCUUUCAGAAUAAGAAAUUUGUUGAGCCAGCUAAGAUAUAGAAAUGGGCUGUGGUGAACUUCUUUGCUCGGUGUGACAUGCGUGGGCUUAUAAGAGAC